rnacentral:rRNA from 1 species
CAAGUCGAGCGAGAAAGGCCUUCGGGCUGAGUACAGCGGCGGACGGGUGAGUAACGCGUAGGAAUCUACCUGGUAGUGGGGGACAACAUGGGGAAACUCAUGCUAAUACCGCAUACGCCCUAUGGGGGAAAGCGGGGGACCUUCGGGCCUCGCGCUAUCAGAUGAGCCUGCGUAGGAUUAGCUUGUUGGUGAGGUAAAGGCUCACCAAGGCGACGAUCCUUAGCUGGUCUGAGAGGAUGAUCAGCCACACUGGAACUGAGACACGGUCCAGACUCCUACGGGAGGCAGCAGUGGGGAAUAUUGCGCAAUGGGCGAAAGCCUGACGCAGCCAUGCCGCGUGUGUGAAGAAGGCCUUAGGGUUGUAAAGCACUUUCAAUUGGGAAGAAAGGUUGCGUGUUAAUAGCACGUAGCUGUGACGUUACCUUUAGAAGAAGCACCGGCUAACUCCGUGCCAGCAGCCGCGGUAAUACGGAGGGUGCGAGCGUUAAUCGGAAUUACUGGGCGUAAAGCGCGCGUAGGCGGUUUGUUAAGUCGGAUGUGAAAGCCCCGGGCUCAACCUGGGAAUUGCCUUCGAUACUGGCCGACUAGAGUACGAGAGAGGGAGGUAGAAUUCCACGUGUAGCGGUGAAAUGCGUAGAUAUGUGGAGGAAUACCGGUGGCGAAGGCGGCCUCCUGGCUCGAUACUGACGCUGAGGUGCGAAAGCGUGGGUAGCAAACAGGAUUAGAUACCCUGGUAGUCCACGCCGUAAACGAUGUCUACUAGCCGUUGGGAGACUUGAUUUCUUAGUGGCGCAGCUAACGCACU